CGGGGCGCCGUGCUGCACGCGCCCUCUGGGAGCUUUGGGCUUUCCGGUCUGGUGGGACCUGCCGGGGUGCACACAGCAGGUGCUCGAUAGAUGCUGCCGACGCCCGAACCCACUAGGAGUGAUGUCUGAGGGUUCACUGCUCCGACUUGGGAGCAGGUUCUGUUUUGCCUCAUCGGACUGCAUUAAAAUGACGCCGGCUGUCGCAACUUACGUGCAUUAAUUAAUCUCCCUGAUGAGAGCUCCGCAGUCCUGGACGGGGCAUGCUGUCGCGAGUCCCAUUUUACAGAUGAGGAAACUGAGGUUUGGAGAGAGAAAGAGGCUGCCCCAGGGCGGGCCGACCGCGACUCUACCCAGCAGGUCCUGAGAACUCAGAGGGACUUCUAGGCCUCCCAGGAGCACGGCAAGGAGCAGCAUGCAGUUUCGUUUUGGUUCUCCUUCAGCCACAGCCCUGUCACCUCCCCAGGGUCACCUCCUCUGGGCCUCACCUCUUUGAGAUGCUGCUGAGUCCUCAGCUGUUUCAGGUCUGACGGCGCAUCUCUGUCUCCGGUCACCAGGUGGGUGCCCCUCCAAGAGCUCACAGCACCCCGCCCGGUGGCCCCGCGGCCCCACUCCCCACACCCAGGAACCCAGGCAGGUGUUCACACACACACACCCGAAUAUCUAGAGUGGCACCGCGUGCAACGGCCGAAAGGAGGUGACACCCAAAGUGUCCGCAGACGGAUGAACGAAUGCACAAAACGUGGUCCGUGCUCCCAAGUGCACGUCCCUCAGCCGCGGACAGGAGUGAGGCGCCCACACGUCACCCCGGGGUCGGACCCCGAGCCCCCGACGCUCAGGGAGGGAACCAGACACAGGAGGCCCCGUGGGGUGUGAGUCCACGUGUGUGACACAUGCAGGACAGGCUCAUCCACGGACAGGGAGGGGGCUCGAGGGGGACAAGGGGUGAGUGUUCAUGGGGACGGGGCUGCUUUCGCGGGUAAGAAUGUCCUGGAAUUAGGCACAACCUUGUGAACCUACCUAAUGCCACUGGAUCGUACACUUUAAAGUGGCAAAAAUGGAGAAUUUUACGUUACGUGAAUUUGACCUCGAUUUAGAGGAGACGCACGUUGGAGCCCCCCGGUCACGGCGGCCAGCACGGGGGUGGGCGCACGGCCGGCGUCUGCGUUGUGGACGCGUGUGGCUGCACCGGCACAGCCACCUGCUCUUCUGCAGAAGAAACGGUCCCAUCUGGGCAACUUCCGCACGCGUCAGCCAGAAGCCCGGUCACGGGGAUGUUCUGCGACGCUGGGCCUUUCAUCGACGAGAGAGGGCAAAUAAGAGAGGACCCAGUCCUUUAGCAAGUAAAACUUUUAUUAAAUAAACUUUCAGUUUCUCCAGACCAAAGAGAGGCGUUUGGACAUUAAGAUGAUGCUCGCAGCUUCUCACCUGAACACGCCACAGUGACAAGGACCUCUCCAGCCAGAAAUCCAAACCACGCCAACCCAAAGUUCCCUCGAAGUCCCUUUCUUGUCUUCCUUUUCUGUGUGUGUUUGUGUGUAUGUGUAGAGGUGUGUGUGUGUGUGUGUGUGUGUGUGUGGCGGUUUGUCUCCAAAAGUCGGUUUGCAAGUUGAAACUUCAUGAAAUUACUCGUAGCAGAAAUAAAGUACAUCGUACAAAUCA